rnacentral:rRNA from 1 species
UGGGGAAUAUUGCACAAUGGACGGAAGUCUGAUGCAGCAACGCCGCGUGCGGGAUGACGGCCUUCGGGUUGUAAACCGCUUUUUCUCAUGACGAAGUUUUUUGACGGUAGUGGGGGAAGAAGCACCGGCUAACUACGUGCCAGCAGCCGCGGUGAUACGUAGGGUGCGAGCGUUGUCCGGAAUUAUUGGGCGUAAAGAGCUUGUAGGCGGUUUGUCGCGUCGUUAGUGCAAACUCAGUGCUUAACGCUGAGCCUGCUGUUGAUACGGGCAGACUAGAGGAAGGUAGGGGAGGAUGGAAUUCCCGGUGGGGCGGUGGAAUGCGAGGAUGUCGGGAGGAACACCGGUGGCGAAGGCGGUUCUCUGGGCAUUUCCUGACGCUGAGAAGCGAAAGCGUGGGGAGCGAACAGG